rnacentral:sRNA from 1 species
UACUAAAAACCUAAAUAGUAAUGGAGAGACACGAUCAAGAGUUGAGAUACCAAAAACGGCGAUUAAGGCCCUGUUCAUUUCCCUGUCGCUGGAUCCAGCGACAGCGACCAGCGACCAGCGACAGCAACCAGCGACAGCAACCAGCGACAGCAACCAGCGACAACAUACAUUGUUCGUUUGUCUGUCGCUGGACUCAGCGACCAAUUACAGCGACAAUCGCUAAUAAUUGUCGCUGUGUUGUUCGUUUGACUGUCGUUAUAAAUAGUCGCUAUAUUUUUUUUUAAAAUU